UAGGGAAUCUUCCACAAUGGACGCAAGUCUGAUGGAGCAACGCCGCGUGAGUGAAGAAGGUCUUCGGAUCGUAAAGCUCUGUUGUUGGUGAAGAAGGAUAGAGGCAGUAACUGGUCUUUAUUUGACGGUAAUCAACCAGAAAGUCACGGCUAACUACGUGCCAGCAGCCGCGGUAAUACGUAGGUAGCAAGCGUUGUCCGGAUUUAUUGGGCGUAAAGCGAGCGCAGGCGGAAUGAUAAGUCUGAUGUGAAAGCCCACGGCUCAACCGUGGAACUGCAUCGGAAACUGUCAUUCUUGAGUGCAGAAGAGGAGAGUGGAACUCCAUGUGUAGCGGUGGAAUGCGUAGAUAUAUGGAAGAACACCAGUGGCGAAGGCGCUCUCUGGUCUGCAACUGACGCUGAGGCUCGAAAGCAUGGGUAGCGAACAGGAUUAGAUACCCUGGUAGUCCAUGCCGUAAACGAUGAGCGCUAGGUGUUGGGGGACUUUCCGGUCCUCAGUGCCGCAGCAAACGCAUUAAGCGCUCCGCCUGGGGAGUACGACCGCAAGGUUGAAAC
rnacentral:rRNA from 1 species